AUGGAGUAACAAGUACAUUAUUUUAUUUAGGAAUGUAAUGAAGUAAAAGUCUGCAAAAAUAUAAAUAGUAAAGUACAGAUACCCCAGUAUACAGAAUUUUUACUUAAGUACUUUACACCACUGAGUGGUGUAAAUGGGCUCCUGUGGAUGUUGGAACAUAGCCAUUCAAAAUAGGGGUAUGAUGAGCUCAACCACUCAACAUACCCCAUUCUCCUCUACCUGGGUUGGUCAGAUUAUUAUAGCAUUGUGCUAGGUAGAUGGUAAAUCCCUCAGCAUUGUGCUAGGUAGAUGGUAAAUCCCUCAGCAUUGUGCUAGGUAGAUGGUAAAUCCCUCAGCAUUGUGCUAGCUAGGUGGUAAAUGGAUAGUGUUGCUGAUCACAGCUCAGAUAUCGGUAUGACAUUGUUAUCCUACUCAAUCCAAUUAUCAGAUCAAUCGUUAGCAUCUAUUAUCUCAAGACAGUUGCAGGUCUUUUUAUCCCCAUCGUUUCAGGAGCCUGUUAAGCGAUAGGAUGGUAGAGUAUAGUGUCCAUAGAGAUAACGGAGGCGCUGACAUUAGCUGUGCUAACUAUAGCCCUUGCUAAAGUCAUCUUGUCUAACAUCGUGAUUUGAUAACAUGGGCCUUGCUAGCUGCGGGGAACAUGCUAACUAACUUCAGCCUAGUUAGCAAAGUAUUUUGUUAGGGGGCAUAGAUGGCCACAACCCUCUUUUCUGUUUCUCAUUCUCCCUUUUUCUCUUUCUUUUUGUCUCUUACUUUAAACUCUUUCUGCUAUGCAUUAGCACUAAAGUGCCUGUCUGUAUGUCUGUCAGUCUGUUCCUUUCUUCCCCUUUAGCACUAUCAGGGCUAUCCUCUCAAAAUAUAUAUAGUCUAUUUUUAUGUAUAUUUUUUCUUUUAGCGUAUGUACAAUAUUGUGUAACCUCAAGGUACCCUUCCCUUAUUGAGGUUUCAAUUAUGAUGUUCAAGGAUGUAGUGACCCAUGAAAUGACUUGACCAAUUGCCCCUGACUUCAUCACGUGUUUGUAUUGGGUUGGUGCUGGAAAAUGUAGGCCCCGAGGAGGACCCCAUUGAGGACCUCGUCUAUGGAUGGCCGUAUUAGUGCCAAAACAAAAAUACGCUGUGACUCUUUCCGACAACACAUUAAAAAGCUACAGUAGCUGCUUUGAAUAGCUACUAUGAGCUUUCAACUUCUGACGUUUUAUAUUUUUCUUGGUUGUUAAAUGCUAUUAUAACCUUG